rfam:Mucor circinelloides f. circinelloides 1006PhL unplaced genomic scaffold supercont1.49, whole genome shotgun sequence.
GUGCAUAACGAAAGGAGAGAACUUUGGCAAUCCCCUUGAGAAGGACGGAAUGAGCUUUUGCUCAAACUUACAGCACCUUGUGUGUUUGAAGGCACCGCUCUUAGGAGCAUCUAGGCAUAUUGCCACCAAUUUUUUUUU